rnacentral:ncRNA from 1 species
AAAGUCCCUGCCGGGUAAGGGCUAGCCGCCCACCCGUAUCGAGUGUUGAUCUCAUUGCGGAGCAGGUAACUGCGAACAAUAUAUGAGGUAAGCGUACACAGAGAAUCCAGUAGGCCGUAGGGGAGAUCGCGCUCCCUGAAGCGCUGUUACAGCUUCGAAACGUCGUCGAGGUCGCCGAGGGCUUUAACGCACUCGAAGGCAACACAAAGCAUCCGUUAAUGGCAAGGAUGUGGAGGGCCUCCGGAGUAUAGGCCGU